ensembl:lncRNA
AUGUGAUGGGGAACUGAAUUCCAGAGCUUAGGGGCAAUGUGACUUAAGGCUCUUCCAUCCAAGGUGCUAAAGUUCAUGUCCAGUAUUGCUAAUAGACCUGCUGAGGAGGAUCGCAGUAAGUGGGGAAGGGUGCAGUUCUCCAAGAGGUUAGUGAGGCAACAGGAAGCCAGUGAAGCUGGAUGAGCAGAGGUGUUACAUGGCUGGUUGACAUUUUACGCCGUGCGAGAGAGAUCCAGCGGAUUAAAACGAGGGAUUUGACCAUCUCCGUUUCCCCUGACUACACAGCCAGGACAGCCGGGCCCGGGCCGCGUUUAACGAGGUUCGGCGUCAACUUCGUGGUAUUGAGGGCGCUCGCUAUGGAAUACUUCACCCAGCUCGGCUUCGCAUUACAUAUAACGGUGUUCAGAAGGACUUUAUUUCAGCGGAGGAAGCAGGAGACUACGUUAAACCCUUGAUAUCGGGGUGAACUGCAUCACCUAUAUAGUGGAGUUUUUCUCACUUUUAUUCUUUUUUUGCACUCGGCCUUCCAGCUCUACAGAAGUCGGAUUCUUAUUGAAGAUAUUGUCGGUGCAUUACUUCGUCUAGAUUUUGUGGACUUCUCUUAAAUUUACUUCUGUAUUAAUGUGCUUCUCUGUUUUGAUGCUCUGACUGGGUUAGAGUUUAUUUCAUUUUAUUAAUGUUGUUUCCUCAUCUUUACGUGCUACACUGUUAUAUUAUUUGUUACAAGUCUUUAAAAGGUAAGGACAUUAUAUUUGUUAAAGUGCGCAGACUAUUUAUCAGAUUUGAAGUCAGUAGGGGACUUUUCUCUUACUGGGAUUUUUUUUUGUUUAGGUAAUUUAGUUCGGUUUACUCAUUGAGUUGUUUUCACAUUGUGGACAACUCUUGGUGGGAAACACUGCUGUCUCCCUUUGUUUUAUGGAGACUUUGGGUGUGUUGGGGGCGGGGGUCCCACUCCGGCUGGGACAGGCAGGCCAUUAAGAUUUAUUUGUUGGAAAGUCAGAAGUAAUCCUGCCAAGAGAUCUAAGGUUUCUUACAUAUUUGAAACGUCUUCCACUCUAACUUUAAUUUGAAAGUAGGAGGGGUCGCUAUUUUAAUUGACAAAGGGUUUUCGUCCACUAACGUUAUCGCUGAUGCGAACGGUAGAUAUAUUAUAGUUGCUGGUACUCUAAUGCAAAGACAGGUAUUGUAUACACUCCUAACUUAGAUGAUUUUUUAUUUAUUUAUUUAUUUAUUUAUUUAUUUAUUUAUUCUAAAAAGUAUUUAUUUAUUUAUUUAUUAUAAAUGGCAUCCCUUUGUUGUAUACUUUAUGGAGUUACAGACACUUCCCACUUAAUUUUUUGUGCCUGUUUUUGGGUUUUAUAAUAUUUAUAUAACCAGCGACAUUUAGGGGGGGGCUUUUAAUUUUGUUUUCCUUUGUUGUUUUUUUUUCUUCUUCUCAAUGAAAUAUUUGGGAAAGGGAAGGGAGGAGAGAAGAGAAAAGGUAAAUGAAUCACAUGAAUAUGAAUCACAUGAAAAUGAAUCACAUGUAAAUGAAUCAUAUGAAAAUGAAUAAAUAAAUUAAAGCAC